CAGAUCUUCACAAGUACGGUGAGAAACUGGAUAAAAUACAGUGGAGGUCAUGGAGAACCAGCUCUGUGAGACUCUCUUGCAGUGUAAUUAGUUAAAGAAUGAGUGGGAGGAAGAGCAGGAGGCUCACAGGCUUCUGAAGUCCCAGUACCAGGAGAGGAUGGAAAAUCUGACGAAUAAUGAGAAGUUACUGAAGGACUAUAAUUGACUGAAGGACAUUCUUAACAUCCUCCAGGCCGAGCACAAAGAGGCGAAGGAGAAGUUAAAACACUGUGAAGAGUGGAGUCGACGGCUGUGCAGUCCACUGAUGAGCAUGAAGCUGGCAUGUCCGGUCUGACCAACGUGGCCAUGCAGGACAUACUGCAGGAAUCAGUGCGGGAAACACUGUGGGACAGAUUCAAAUUCAUCUUUAAAAAGAAACCUGGCAAAAGUCGUAGAAGCAAGAAGAAUAGACUUCCUGAGCCAGAAAACGUUUUGAAAAGAAGUGGAUUCAUUGUUCACCCCUCACUCCAGCUAGACUACGAGAAAAAACAACAACAAAAAUGACCACAAAGAAGUGAUACUCCCACUGAAAGAAAGAAAGCAGAAAAAACAAUGAAAAAAAGAACAAAUUCUAUGUGUAUAUAAGAAAUAUAAUGUGUUUUAAAUGAUCCUACAAUAAAAUAAUCCAGUUGUAGAUUCAUGCUAGAAAUUAUAAAAUUCAACGGAAAAGUCCUAAAAGUUUUUGUCAAAAGUUUUUCUCCAUUAUUUAUUAAAUUGCUUCCUGGACUUCUGCUUCCGCCCGCAUGGUGUGCACAGCACAAAAGGGAGCUCCUCGAAUAAAUAAUCAAUUAUUGAUAAAUAGACCAAUCAGCCAAGUAAAGUUUUUUACAUUUCUGUCAAAGAGUUAUAGCAAAGAACUUAUCGAUAUAAAACCAAGCUCGUGUAAAAACGUUAUGUCGACAAUUCAUCAUAACACAAAAGCAGAAAGCGGUGAAAUGCGCUGUGAGAGGAAAUCUUCCCGGAGCUGGCUGCCUUACACAAAGCACAGGCCGAAUCGGAGAACGAGUGCAUGGAGAUGGGGAAAACCCAGAGGCACAUGAUGGACAAAGUGGCAGUGCUGGAAGAGUCUCAUGAGUGUAUGGCUAAAGAGCAAAAGAAAAUUCAGGAAAAAUGGAUGGAUUUGGAGAAUCGUAGCCUGAGACAGAAUUUAAGAUUUGUCGGGAUCCCAGAAGGAGUGGAGGCUGGAAAUCCAGUUCGAUUCAUCAAAGUCCUGCUACUGGAGUUAUUCGGAGCUGAUGACUUGGGAGAUUCCAGUAUAACGGUAGAUCGUGUGCACAGGACUCUUAUAUAGAAAUAAAGGCAGUCUCUACUACAAAGGAUCCCCUGUGCAACUGCAUAUCUUCCCCGAUGUGAGUCCAGAAGUUUGCGCGAAGCUCAAUCCAGUGAAAUUAAACUGCGAGCC